GGAGGGAUGGCCGAGUGGCUUAAGGCGGCGGUUUGCUAAACCGUUGUACGGGGGUAAACCCUGUACCGAGAGUUCGAAUCUCUCUCCCUCCG
rfam:Elusimicrobia bacterium RIFCSPHIGHO2_01_FTLL_64_10 rifcsphigho2_01_scaffold_39315, whole genome shotgun sequence.